rnacentral:rRNA from 1 species
CGGUACCCUGGCGCUUGCGCCGGGGUGAGAGUGGCAACGGGGUGAGUAAUGCGUGACCAACCUGCCCCAUGCACCGGAAUAGCUCCUGGAAACGGGUGGUAAUGCCGGAUGCUCCAGAUGACCGCAUGGGAUUCUGGGAAAGCUUUUGCGGCAUGGGAUGGGGUCGCGUCCUAUCAGCUUGUUGGUGGGGUGAUGGCCCACCAAGGCUUCGACGGGUAGCCGGCCUGAGAGGGCGACCGGCCACAUUGGGACUGAGAUACGGCCCAGACUCCUACGGGAGGCAGCAGUGGGGAAUAUUCCGCAAUGGGCGAAAGCCUGACGGAGCAGGACCGCGUGGGGGAAGAAGGCUCUUGGGUUGUAAACCCCUUUUCUCUGGGAAGAAAGUUGUGAAAGCAACCUGACGGUACCAGAGGAAUCAGCAUCGGCUAACUCCGUGCCAGCAGCCGCGGUAAGACGGAGGAUGCAAGCGUUAUCCGGAAUGAUUGGGCGUAAAGCGUCCGCAGGUGGCAGUUCAAGUCUGCUGUCAAAGACCGGGGCUUAACUUCG